rnacentral:rRNA from 1 species
CAAGUCGAACGGGGUCCAACUGGUGGCAACACCGGGGAAGACCUAGUGGCGAACGGGUGCGUAACACGUGAGCAACCUGCCCCGAAGACCGGGAUAACACCGGGAAACCGAUGCUAAUACCGGAUACCCCCAAGUGCCCACAUGGGCGCAUGAGGAAAGGAUUCCGCUUCGGGAGGGGCUCGCGGCCUAUCAGCUUGUUGGUGGGGUAACGGCCUACCAAGGCGAUGACGGGUAGCUGGUCUGAGAGGACGAUCAGCCACACUGGGACUGAGACACGGCCCAGACUCCUACGGGAGGCAGCAGUGGGGAAUCUUGCGCAAUGGGCGAAAGCCUGACGCAGCAACGCCGCGUGGGGGAUGAAGGCCUUCGGGUUGUAAACCCCUUUCAGUAGGGACGAAAUUGACGGUACCUACAGAAGAAGCCCCGGCCAACUACGUGCCAGCAGCCGCGGUGAUACGUAGGGGGCGAGCGUUGUCCGGAUUGAUUGGGCGUAAAGAGCUCGUAGGCGGCUCGGUAAGUCGGGUGUGAAACCUCCAGGCUCAACCUGGAGACGCCACUCGAUACUGCCGUGGCUAGAGUCCGGUAGGGGACCACGGAAUUCCUGGUGUAGCGGUGAAAUGCGCAGAUAUCAGGAGGAACACCGGUGGCGAAGGCGGUGGUCUGGGCCGGCACUGACGCUGAGGAGCGAAAGCGUGGGGAGCGAACAGGAUUAGAUACCCUGGUAGUCCACGCCGUAAACGUUGGGCACUAGGUGUGGGGCCUCUUCGACGGGUUCCGUGCCGUAGCUAACGCACUAAGUGCCCCGCCUGGGGAGUACGGCCGCAAGGCUAAAACUCAAAGGAAUUGACGGGGGCCC